AACGAACGCUGGCGGCGUGCCUAACACAUGCAAGUCGUGCGAGAAAGUUCCUUCGGGAGCGAGUAAAGCGGCGCACGGGUGAGUAACACGUAGGUAACCUGCCCCCCCAGUCUGGAACAACUAGAGGAAACUCUAGCUAAUGCCGGAUGAGACCACGAUCCCUUCGGGGUUGCGGCCAAAGAUGGCCUCUACUUGUAAGCUAUCGCUGAGGGGAUGGGCCUGCGGGCCAUUAGCUUGUUGGUGAGGUAACGGCUCACCAAGGCUGUGAUGGCUAGCUGGUCUGAGAGGAUGACCAGCCACACUGGGACUGAGACACGGCCCAGACUCCUACGGGAGGCAGCAGUGGGGAAUAAUUGCGCAAAUGGGGCGAAAGGACCUGACGCAGCGACGCCGCUGGGUGAUGAAGGCUCGGU
rnacentral:rRNA from 1 species